rfam:Schistosoma mattheei strain Denwood, Zambia genome assembly, scaffold: SMTD_scaffold0001018
GCACUGCUGAAUAGUCCCACAAUAGGACGAAACGGCCGUCCAAUGC